AUUGAACGCUGGCGGCAGGCCUAACACAUGCAAGUCGAGCGAGCGGCGGACGGGUGAGUAAUGUCUGGGGAUCUGCCCGAUAGAGGGGGAUAACUACUGGAAACGGUGGCUAAUACCGCAUACUAUCGGAUGUGCCCAUAUGGGAUUAGCUAGUAGGUGGGGUAACGGCUCACCUAGGCGACGAUCACUAGCUGGUCUGAGAGGAUGAUCAGCCACACUGGGACUGAGACACGGCCCAGACGCCUACGGGAGGCAGCAGUGGGGAAUAUUGCACAAUGGGCGCAAGCCUGAGGCAGCCAUGCCGCGUGUAUGAAGAAGGCCUUAGGGUUGUAAAGUACUUUCAGCGGGGAGGCGUUACCCGCAGAAGAAGCACCGGCUAACUCCGUGCCAGCAGCCGCGGUAAUAC
rnacentral:rRNA from 1 species